rnacentral:rRNA from 1 species
UACGUAGGGUGCAAGCGUUGUCCGGAAUUAUUGGGCGUAAAGAGCUCGUAGGCGGUCUGUUGCGUCGGCUGUGAAAACCCGAGGCUCAACCUCGGGCCUGCAGCCGAUACGGGCAGACUAGAGUUCGGCAGGGGAGACUGGAAUUCCUGGUGUAGCGGUGAAAUGCGCAGAUAUCAGGAGGAACACCGGUGGCGAAGGCGGUUCUCUGGGAAUGACCUGACGCUGAGGAGCGAAAGUGUGGGGAGCGAACAGG